rnacentral:tRNA from 1 species
GGAAAGAUGGCUGAGCGGUCCAAGGCGCUGCGUUCAGGUGGCAGUCCAGUUCUGCGGACGUGCGUUCGGAUCCCACUCUUGUCA